UCGGAUUGUAGUCUGCAACCCGACUACAUGAAGCUGGAAUCGCUAGUAAUCGCGGAUCAGAAUGCCGCGGUGAAUACGUUCCCGGGUCUUGUACACACCGCCCGUCACACCAUGGGAGUCGGAAAUGCCCGAAGUCUGUGACCCAACCUUAGGGAGGGAGCAGCCGAAGGCAGGUCGGAUGACUGGGGUCGAAGUCGUAACAAGGUAAC
rnacentral:rRNA from 1 species